CAGUAGCCGCGGUAACACGGAGGAUCCAAGCGUUAUCCGGAUUUAUUGGGUUUAAAGGGUGCGUAGGUGGCCUGUUAAGUCAGGGGUGAAAGACGGUAGCUCAACUAUCGCAGUGCCUUUGAUACUGACGGGCUUGAAUGAACUAGAGGUAGGCGGAAUGUGACAAGUAGCGGUGAAAUGCAUAGAUAUGUCACAGAACACCAAUUGCGAAGGCAGCUUACUAUGGUUUUAUUGACACUGAGGCACGAAAGCGUGGGGAUCAAACAGGAUUAGAUACCCCUGUAGUCCCUGUCUCUUAUAA
rnacentral:rRNA from 1 species